rnacentral:lncRNA from 1 species
CAGUUCUCAGGCUUGUUCCAAUAUGGAUUACGUGUUUAGGAUAUGCAAUUGUGUAUUCACAAUCUGCGACUUUAUUCACCAAGCAAGGAGUUACAAUGGAUCGCCAUAUCACGUCUAGCUUACAAAUACCAGCUGCCUCAUUUCAAUCUUUUGUGAGUGUUGGUGUUGUCGUCUUUAUUCCAGUCUACGACUGUAUUUUGGUUCCAAUUGCAAGAUCAAUUACUGGGAGACCUGCUGGCAUAACAAUGCUUCAACGAAUCGGAACUGGAAUACUUUUAUCUUUUCUUUCCAUGGUAAUUGCUGCUUUGGUCGAGAUGGAACGCCUAAAAACUGCUGUCGAAUAUGGACUUGUGGACCUGCCAAAGGCAACCGUGCCAAUGAGUGUGUGGUGGCUGCUACCUCAGUAUUUGCUUUUUGGAAUAGCAGAUGUAUUUACCUUGAUCGGGCUUCAAGAAUUCUUCUACGAUCAGGUUCCGAAAGAACUGAGGAGUAUCGGUCUUGCUCUAUACCUCAGUAUAUUUGGCAUAGGGAGCUUCUUGAGCAGCUUUCUUGUUUCUGUGGUUGAGAAAGCCACCAGUGGCCCGGGUCAUGAUGGUUGGUUUUCAGACAACCUUAAUCGGGCUCAUCUCGACUACUUCUAUUGGCUACUGGCUGGGCUUAGUGCUGCUUUAUUAGUUGCCUACUUGUAUUUUGCAAAAUCUUAUGUCUAUAAUCGAAGACACAGUCUUUGAAGAGGCGUAGUUGUUUAAAUAUGGCUAGUAGAAGAGCACUAUUGUGGAAGAAACUCAGUUAACAGUUUCUUGUUUAUUCCUUAGGUAGUUGUUUAAAAUCAAUAAAUGUUGCUCGCUUGUAUUAUGCAUCUUAAAAUUUGUUUUUAAUAAAGAAAAGAAAAAUUGCAAUUUAGGCCCUGUUUGAGUCUUAUUAUUUUCUCAUUAAAAUGAAAAAUAUGACUGUUAUCCAUCAUAUCAAGUCAUUAUAUUUAUUUUUUAUCCUUGUGUGGAGCAUAUAACAGCUAUAUUUUUCAUUCUCAUUUUUACAAUAAUGUGACUCAAAUGAGGGCCUAAUUAUAGAGUUGAGCUCCCUUGCUUAUGGUACAAACUAUAGCGGUUGUGUGUGGUCAAAACAUGUCUUCUGUGAGGAACGUAUAACGAUCAAACAUUGUUAUUUCGAUAUAAUUUAUCUAACGCCAACCAUUUUAUGUGGUAUUAUGUGAUAGGUAUAACUAAGGGAGAAAUUAUGGGAUUAAUUUAAUUUGACAUUUCAUUUAAAUAAUACUUAAUGCUACAUGUGUUACAGUGGUGCUAAAUAACAUUAUUUUUAUUAAAAAUACGAACUCGAAUGAAAGAACACGUUAAUCUUAUUGAAAACCUGCAAAUUUAGUUCCCAAAAUCCUAACUUGAAAAUUAUAGGGUGCAAAUCUGUUUAGAAUUAAUAGACGUGUUUUGUUGUAAUGUUGACUUGGUAACUAUCAAUAGUCUUUAACUCCUCGAUUAGACUUUACAAUAAUGAAAAUGUUGUCUCCAGAUAGAGUAUUUGGUACUAUUAAGGAAAUCAAUUUAUCUAGUUUUACUCGUACACAAACCUCCUCUUGUUUCGUUCAUAAGCUUCAUUCAGCUCUUUACAAAGUCAAAUAUUAUUCGAAUUAAUCUAUGUCCCUCAAUCAUUUUUAUAUCGUCACGAAUUUCCUGAGAUACUAAAAUCAUACUUUUAAAGAAUAAUUAUUAUACAUAUACAUAUAUAUGUAUAUACUCAUUUUUGUCAAAGCGUGGUGGUUGUUGAGCCAAUCUCUUCAGCCAUAAAUAUUUGGAUGCCCAAAAUCAACUCCUAGACCACGUUCUUCAUGGCUCGUGCAUUUUGGUACUUUUUAUAAUGUUUCGGUACAUUUUUCACAUUUUUAUUUAUUUUUGCACGUUUUGAUAAAUUUCACAUAUUUUGAACAUUUUAGAGCAUUUUGGAACAUUUAAUCCAUUUUUGGUAUAUUUUAGUGAGUUGUGAUACAUUUCGCACAUCUUCAUACAUUUUGGUGCAUUUUGGUACAUUUCAUAUAUUUUAGUACAUAUUGCGCGUAGUUACAUUUCGACAUGAUUUUGUUCAUUUUUAUAUUUUGGUACAUUUCGGACAAGUUAUGGCAUAUUUUGCACAUCUCGAUACAUUUUUUUAGCCUUACUAUAUAUUUUGGCAUACUUUCUAGUUACAUUUUUUGAGCAUUUUUAUACCUUUCGUACGUUUUAUUUUUGUUUAUUUAUUUAUUUUUUUUAUACACUUUGGAGCGUUAUGAUAUUUUCACAUAUUUUGGUAUAUUUUGACACAUACAUUUUGUUGCUUUUUAAAGUUAAACUCUCUCAUGUAUUUUUAGACAUCUCGUGCAUUAUGAUACAUUUUGGAGCCUUUUGUUACAUUUAUAGCGUUUUGGUACAUCUUUUGUGCAUUUAACAAAUUUUGGAACAUUUCCUACACUUUGGUCCAUUUUUGACAAGUUAAGGUGUGUUUUGGAGAGUUAUGGUACAUUUUAUAUAUUUUGAUUCAUUUUGAUGAAUUUUUUUGGCAAGUAUGAUGUAUUUCAUCCAUUUUGCUACAUUUUGUAAUAUUUCGCACAUUUUGGUAUAUUUUUUUGUGCAUUUUGGUACAUUUCGCAUAUUUUGAUACAUUUUAGAGCGUUUUGAUAUAUUUCACAUAUUUUUUGUUUGUUUUUGCACGUUUUGAUCCUGAUAUGGUGGCUGGAUAUUUUUUAUCCUUGAAGAUAAUAAUCUAAAUACGUACAUGUAGUCUUCUUUAGAAGCAUUAACUUUUAGAUGUUAACUUGAUGAUACUCUUGUGGCGUCUCGUUUAUUAAAAAUUGUACACUUAUAGUUUAAACUUUUAGAUAAGAUAAUGAUAAUCACAUAUUCACACAAUUCCAUACCAAUUUCCCAUUCAACAAUUUAGGGCAAGAAAAUGUUUAUUUAUUUUUAUUUUUUACAUAAUAAGGGUUUGAUUUGCUAAGAAAUUUGCGCACUUAGAAAAACAUUCGAAUUUAUUAGCCUAUUUAUCCAUGGCAAAUCCACAUUAAAGAUGAUAACUGAUAGUGAAACAAGUCAUUACCAAGCAGGGACAGAUUCAAGAUUGUUGACGAACUAUGGCAGUCGUCGAUUGUUGACCAUUGAUCAUCAACGACCGCAAUUUUUACAUGCUAAAUCAUAAACCAUACAUAAGUCAAUAUUGAACAUCGAACAUUUUCAUAGAAGCUAGAUCAUAAGCAUCCACGAAUCAUUCAUUUUGAUAUCCAAGUCAAUCGCCAAAAUUUGAAGCAUAACAUUUAGCAAUCAAAAUUCGUGAUGCCAUUGACCACAAGUAAGAGGUAUUGUCAAUUAAAUACUCAAGUUAAAUGAUAGCUUGAUAUAAACAGAAAGAGUAGAUGCCGAAAAUUGUUUAACAUAUAAGAAAGAAAGAAGUCAGUAACUUGGUGUAAAGAAAAAUGCGGUUAAUGUAAGCGUCAAAUUACCAUCCAUCUCAGGCAAAUGUUACAAUCCAAGUGUAGCACUCACAUACUAAAACUUAGUGACAAAAGUUUACAACAGUUGACGACAGGUUACAAGACUCACAAAUUCCGUCCACGGCGGAGAUCACGGAAAGUGUUUGGAAAUUGCAAAUGUCAAGAUUCACAGCCUCAAAUCUAAUUGACAAUGGAAUCAAUGGGUAUUUGGAUUUUGGGCAAUGGGCCUAAAUCCUAAUGUUUAAAAUAAAAAAAAUAAAAAUAAAAAUACUUCAAAAGAAAAAUGCCCAAACCAAAUCUUCAUUUCCUUUCCCUUCAUAUCCUCACAAUUCACAUUCUGCGGAUGUUGCUAGAGAUGGAAUUCAAUGGUUCUUAUGGAAAUAGCACAGGAGACCGUGCCGGCUCGCCAAGUGUAUUGGAUCCAUCCUUGUCACCAAGUACAUGAACUAGGGGUGGGCGCGGGUCGGUUCGGUUCGGUUCUCUUUAGAACCGAACCGAACCAAACUUUUCGGGUAUCUAGUAAAUGAAACCGUCGGGUCCAAAUAUAAUUAUAGAACCGUUCGGGUUCGGUUCCAUUCGGUUCGGUUCGGAUCGGUUCCGUUCGGUUCUGUACUAUAAUUAAAUUUUUUAACAUUUAUAACAACGUUAUAUAAAUACGACUAAUGAUACAUUCAAUAGUUUUGGAAUGUCAGAGAUUAGUAAACUACCUUGUUCAAAUGAUCGCUACGAUCAAAGCUUCAGUCGGGGAAAGUCACGGCUUCGAUCGGAGGUUAGAGUGUCGGCCGACGAUUGUAUAAGUUUUGGAAUAUUAGAUAGACUGCAAGAGUGAGUGCGAGAGUCAAGACAACGUUAUGCACUUUAUUGUAGGUGUUUAGGGUUAUUUAGUGGAUUUGAUCUUGUUUGGCUAAGAAAUGAAACAAUAAAAUGGGUAAUUAGGCCAAAAAUUAAAAAAUUAGAAAUGAAACAAAUUAUUGGGCCAAAAAUUUGGAUUUAGAAAUCAUUAAUUUGUUAAUUUGUUUAGAAAAAAUUAAAAUUAAAAUAAUUUGAUUUACUCAAUAUAAAAAAAAUUAGAAAGAUUCGGUUCUUAUUCGGUUCUUCGGUUCUUGGUCUAGAACCGAGAACCGAACCGUACCCGUCGGUUCUCAAUUCAGAUACCCGUUCGGGUAUUUAAUUUGACAAGAACCGUCGGGUUCGGAUCGGUUUGGUUCGGGUUCGGUUCGGUCGGGUCGGUUCGGUUCGGGAGAUUUGCCCAGCCCUAACAUGAACUAAUCGAGGUAAGAUAACGGUUAUAAAUGAAAGGGCUUUGCCCCCCGGAUAUAUCCUAGUGGUACAAAGGACAAGUGUGAGGUAUACUUAGCAUUGUUGGCAGCCGCAGUAUGAGAAUUCGAUUCUUGAAAUAUGGAUUGAGAUUCUUUGUGAGCACCAGUGUACAGACAACUCUUAUUUCCUGACCUGUUGGGACACAUCCGGCGAUUAACUUCUCUCACAAUGCUUUAGGAGCGAGGCAGUGAAGGACCCUUAAAGUUAGGGUUCAACUUUUUUUUUUAUAAAUGAAAGAGCUGUGCUUGCUAUACACAAGACACACAGCCCCUCACAUGAUGGGUCCCGCACUAAUCAAGGUUUUACAGCCCUAAGGGGCUACCUUGCACUUUCUAGUAUAUGUAUAUGUCGGCUUUACACCAUUUAAGUUUGAGCGAUAAUGAUCGGUGCUUAAAAUUUAAGUACACGAUUCAAUCAUAGUCGAAUAUUAUAAUUAUUUUAACAAAUCAAAUUUAAUUCUCAAGAAAUUUAAAAUGGAUUCUUUUUCAUUAAUUUAGUUGAUUCAUUGCUAAAUCAAAUAAAAAAUAACUAAAACUCCAGUAAAUAGUAAUAGUUUAUACUUUUCGGUUUUCCCUUCUAUUGAGUUAUAUUGGUAUAACGAUAUACACCACUAAUAUUAUUUGGCAUUUUUUGGAAUGGAAAAAAAUUAAAAUACAUAACUAUAAAAGGUUUCAAAAUACAACUUCAAAAAUGACAAAUUUAUAGACUUUUUCAAAAAUCAGAUGGUCACAUUUUGUGUCAUCUCAUAAAAUAUUGUUUUUAUAUUUUAAAUAAUUAGGUCCCAAUUACAAUUACAAUUUAUAUCACAAUACUAGUCAUAAAAAUACAAGGUCACAGCCACAUAAAACACAAUUUAUGAGUUACAAUAGUAUAUUUAGUCACAAAUUAUACAUUAUAUGUCACAAAGUUAUACUUAUAAAUUACCCAAUUAACUGGUCACAAACACUAUUCACUCUCACUCAACCUCACCCAAAUCAUCGUCACCACUUCAAAUUCACCGCCUCAUUCCACCACCUCCAGCAACUUUCAAAUCUACUUCAAAAGGGGCCUCCACCAUGCCUCAAAUCUACAAUCGCCAUCACCACCUCUGCAUCCACCUCAACACAAAUCAAGCUGAGCUACUGUAAUUUAGCAAAACGAAAGUUUUUUUUGUUUGUUGUUUCAAUUCAUCCUUGACAAAAUGAUUAAAAAUGGUGGGAUUGAGAAAAUGGUGGUCGGGUGGGUACAAAUCUAAGUUUUUGAAGAAUAUGGAUGCUUGGUAGUGGGGUGAAGAAUCUAGAAUAUACCAAGACAAAUGAGAAUGGAAAGUGUUACAUGUACAUAAUUGUCUACAUAAUAGUGUCCAUAAUUACAUGUGGCAUUACAUGUACAUAAUUGUCUACAUAAUAGUGUCCAUAAUUACAUGUGGCACUGGAUCCAACAUUUAAUUUAAAUCUCACACUUUUAUAUCAACAACCGAAUAAUUGUCACAUCACAUUAUGAACAAUAUUAUGUAUAAUAAUUAUGUACAUGCAGACUUUUCCAAUGAGAAUAUGGGGUUAUUAUAGAUGUGUGUGAUUUGGUAUGGUGUGGGUAGGGUGGGAUAGGGUGGGAGGGGUUGGAUAUACUUGAGUUUUUAUUUUUAUUUUUUAAAAUUACUAUUACCAUUUUUUUAAAAUUGAAUUCAAAUGUGGGGUUUUAGACAAUUUCCCCUUAUUUGAUGGGCUCAUACCAUAUGCGGCCAAGGAUCAUGAGCCUGUUUGGAAUUAAUUUUGAGAAUUGAUUUUUUGAUCGUUAGGAGAAAAUUGGAGUCCACCUGUGAUAGAAGAAGUCAAAUAUGACGACUAAAAUAGUGAAAUAACGAUUAAAAAUUAAUUUUUUGGGUCAAAAAAUUACUCCCAAACAAGCUGCAUAUAAAUUAUCAAAAUAAUUAUGUAAGAAAAAAAAUUAAAGAAUCUAGGGGCUUAAUUUAAAGCAAAUUGUUAACCUAAUAUGAUUUUAAAGGAGGAAGAAUUGCAAUUAGGGUCUCAAACCUUUCAAAUUACUGCAAAUUAUACCCAAACCUAUAAUUUUUGCACCCAUAGUCCCAAACCUUUCAUCUUGGUUGCAGCUGAAGUACAAUGGGUGAAUUUCUUUAGUCAACCCAAAAAAAUUAAUUUGACCAUAUUUUGACCAAAUUUAAAUAGGUUGAAAUUGAAUUUUUAUAUUUAUUAAAUAAAAUAAUUAACAAAUAAAUAAAAACCAAAAGGAGAAAAAAAAUUGUGAUUGUUCAUCUCCUCCAAAGCACCCCACCUCCAACCACCCCACAAUGGAAGCACACUUUUGAUCAAUGCUAAAUUUCCCACUUCCAUUCAUAAUAUCUAAUCAUUUGCAGCAUAAAACUCAAUAAAACAUUAUGAAACGCAAAUUAAAGUUCGAAAGGAAAUUAAACCCCCGUUUGAUUUCCAUUCUUUGGUAAAAAAAAAAAAUGUGACCAUUCUUUGGUAAAAAAAAAAAUGUGACCAUUAUCUAUCACAUUAAGUCACUAUAUUUGAUUUUUUACCUCUUGCAUGGUCUCGUAAUAGUUAUAUUUUUCAUUUUUAUUUUUAGAAAAAUGUGAAUCAAACGGGCCUAAAUACAAUCUUAGACACAAAGGAUGUUUUUUUUAAGACAAGUUUGAAUUGAGGACAAGAAUGUCAUAAUUGAAAUGAGAGAGACUAUUAAUCUAAUGCAUGCAAACUACAGAGGUAUCUUGUGCAAAUUAACCGUUUAAUUUUUCCAAAGUUUAAGAAUAAUGCUGUCUAAUAUCAUUAUGCUGUAACAUCACUUCAAAACUCCGCACACGUGCACCUUCUCUAGCAAGCCCGAUCACCCCGAAGCUCCGCCACCACUCCCAACACCCCUAAAACCAAUAGCCGGCGGUCUCCGCCACAGCCACCAUCUCUGUAACCUCAGUCGAUAGUUUCACCAAAUGAAUCCAACAAAAGCAAUAAACAACCCUUCAUAAAAAUGUACAGACACACAGAAACAUAUCCCCGGCACAGAGACAUAUAUGUCGAUGAUUCAGUGCAAUCAACGGUGCUUUCUCUCUCUCUUCCUCUCUAAAUUUGUCCUUUUUGAGGAAUUUCCUCUCUACAAAUAUGCAAGGCUGUGAUGAUGUUUCAAACAAGAAGCAAAACUGAAUUUUUUGACUGUGAUUAUAACUUCGCAGAUGAUGUUUCAGGCUGUUUCCAAUAUGCAAAACUGGAAUUUUCUUUAUUUUUUGAGACAACACUCUGAAAUUUUGAGCUGUAAUUGUUGGUAAAAUUAUAAUAAUCUAUCGCAAGUACAAAGCUUUUAAUUCAAUGUUGUAUGCUCAGAAACUAGAACAAGGAUUGGAUUGAAUAAGAUAUGUGUGCUGACUUUCUUGGAUGAUUGGUUGAUUUAAAUUGGUGGGUUUAGAAACGUCUCCGGCAGUGGUGGCGUUGAAGUGGUAUUGGGUUGGGGUGGGAAAGGGUGGUGGUGGAGAAGAUGAUUAGUAGGAAGAACAGUCUCCUAUAAAGAAAAGCUAUAAAAUACUCCAUUGAUGGGGCCUCAUGAGUCAUGACUUAUACUGUUUGAAAGAUUUGCACAACUGAAGCAGACGAAUAAGAACGGCAUGCGUUUCAUCUGAAUCAAAUCAAUAUUUAUUGAACGAAUUCUAUUGAACUUGUUGUGCUUUUAAUGUAAUCAGAAUAAUGUCCUGUUUUAGCUGUUGAGCUCCAGAGAUGACGCUAUCCCGAUUUCUUCGGCUGCUGGAGCUGCAGCUCCACUGUUAAACAAUGACCUCGUUCAUGGCUCCGUCGACUUCAAAGACCGCCCUGUUUCCCGUUCCCGAUCUGGGUGUUGGAAGUCAGCUUUCUAUCUCAUUGGUAUUGGCAUUCACCUAAUCCUACCCCAAUUUCACACAGCAAAAUAGAAUUUUUUGUAGCAAUCAAUUUGGGUGCCUAAGUGAUCAUAGUCCCACAACCUAGUUAUUUGCCUUAGAUUAGAAACUUGAGAUACAAUUAGUGUUUUUUAAAUUGUUUCUUUAUUUAUUUUGUUCUAUUCAUUAGGUGUUGAAGUGGCUGAGAGGAGUGCAUAUUAUGGAAUACUGUCAAAUUUGAUAAGCUAUUUGACGGGUCCAUUGGGCCAAUCAAAUGCAACAGCAGCGGCAAAUGUGAAUGUGUGGACUGGAACGGCCAUGCUUACGCCGCUUUUGGGAGCUUUUGUGGCGGACUCCUUUCUUGGUCGAUACAGGACCAUUAUUAUUGCCACUGGGCUUUAUAUCCUGGUCAGUUCAAAAAGUUUUCCACGAAAAAUGGCAUAAUUAUUUGACAAUAUAUGUUUUCUAUUUCCAGCUUUACAAUUAUUAGUAUGAUAGACUUAUUUAAGAUAUUUCAUUGGAAUUAUAUAUCAAGCUACAGAGCUUUUAGAAGUGGUUAUGCCUCCUUCAGUUGCACCAAAAGAUGUGAUCAGAUUGAGUGAAAUGGUUGAAUUUUUCCGGUGACGGUUAUCAAAUUAUAUGUUCUGACUUUUUUGGUUUUGGCACUUUAAACUGGAAGUAUUUUGCAUGUUUUGCCUUAAAUGUUUUUACUUGGUUGAGCUUGUUAUAUAUGCUCUGUUAGUUAUAGAAGUUUUCUGUAUGUUAAAAUAAAUUUCCUCUUUCCUCUUGGGCAUCCAGUGCUCAUUCAAAAUAGAAGUUUUGUUUUGGAAAAGUAAGAAUAUUCACAAAAAGGGGCUUGAGAAAAUGACUUUUUUCUUCCCAAUAUAAAAUGUUCUAGGAAAUUAUAUUAUCGUCGCAACAAAUAUGGCCGAGGACUUCGAUUUUGUGACUGAUUUGGAGCAGUUCUGUCUCUUACUUCAUUAACGCAGUAUUUAUUUAUUUAUUUAUUUUUUCAGGCAUGAUGUUCUUGGAACUGCUAUUCUUCAAGGAGACGCUAAUCAUGUUCUUUUGAUUGUUAUAAUCUCAGGCACUUGGCAUUAUGUCCGUAUCUGCUGCUGCUUAUUCAUUCAAAACUUCCAACUGCCAAAUUACUACAUGCUCUCCACCACCUUUUCAAAUUAUUUGCUUCUUCUUCUCAUUAUAUUUAUUUGCAUUAGCACAAGGUGGGCAUAAACCUUGUCUUCAAGCUUUUGGAGCUGACCAGUUUGAUGAGCAAAACCUGAAAGAAUGUAAAGACAAAAGCUCCUUCUUCAAUUGGUGGUGUUGUUUCAUGAAUAUAGGUGUUAUAGUGUCUCUCUAUGUUUUGAAUUACAUUCAAGACAACCUAGGUUGGGGUCUUGGCUUUGGCAUCCCGUGCAUUGGCAUGUGCAUUGCCCUAAUUAUAUUUUUCCUUGGAACUACGACAUACCGAUUUCGCUUAUAGAGUGAAGAAAGAAGCCCGUUUGUGAGAAUCGGUCAGGUGUUCCAAAAUGCGGCUAAAAAUUGGCGGACUACUCAUGCAGAAAUAUCCAAGGAAGAGGAUGCUCACGGUAUUCCUCCUUAUCAAGGCUCUCAACAGUUCAAGUAAGUCCACUACAAUUUUAUGUAUGUAUUUUUACUUUCCAUAAUUUGAAGGACAAAAUGCCUCUUGACUAGCUUUUUUACACAUGGCUUCUUCGGUAAAAUUUAUUAUGCGAUGCUUAACAACGUUUAGUAAGAAAAUGAAACUAAAUUUUUAUCCAUUGCACUGUCCGGAGUUUCAAACUUGCUCUCAAGUCCAACUCUCUGCAGAAGCUUUACUCUUUGUUUCUGCCUACUUUAUUUAUACACACGUGUUUGGCCCAUAUAUGCAAAUUGUAAAAAGGAUGAAUUCUGAAAUUGGCCAUUGCUUUUUCCCAUGCCAGUGCACAAUUUACAUAAAUGCCUUGACAAAAUUUCCAUAACUCUGCAUUCACCGAUCUUGAAAAAAACCAUUCUGAAGACUUGAAUGUGAAGCUCAUAAUCAUCAUUAGGCUCCACUACUAAUGAGUAGUGGUCUUCACCAUUCAACAUCAAGCUAAUUCCAUUUCAUUGAAGUAUUUUUAGUUUGUGACAGGUUUCUUAAUAAAGCAUUGCUUGCACCAAAUGGUUUGAUGGAUGAUGGAAAAGUUGGUAGUAUCACCGAGAUUGAAGAGGCAAAGGCAGUUCUUAGACUUAUUCCAAUAUGGAUUACGUGUUUAGGAUAUGCAAUUGUGUAUUCACAAUCUGCGACUUUAUUCACCAAGCAAGGAGUUACAAUGGAUCGCCAUAUCACGUCUAGCUUACAAAUACCAGCUGCUUCAUUUCAAUCUUUUGUGAGCGUUGGUGUCGUCGUCUUUAUUCCAAUCUACGACUGUAUUUUGGUUCCAAUUGCAAGAUCAAUUACUGGGAAACCCGCUGGCAUAACAAUGCUUCAACGAAUCGGAACUGGAAUACUUUUAUCUUUUCUUUCUAUAGUAAUUGCUGCUUUGGUUGAGAUGGAACGUCUAAAAACUGCUGUCGAAUAUGGACUCGUGGACCUGCCAAAUGCAACCGUGCCAAUGAGUGUAUGGUGGCUGCUACCUCAGUACUUGCUUUACGGAAUUGCAGAUGUAUUUACCUUGAUCGGGCUCCAAGAAUUCUUCUAUGACCAGGUUCCUAGAGAGCUGAGGAGUAUUGGUCUUGCUC